CCCUACGGGGCGCAGCAGUGAGGAAUAUUGGUCAAUGGGCGGGAGCCUGAACCAGCCAAGCCGCGUGAAGGAAGAAGGCGCCAAGCGUCGUAAACUUCUUUUGUCGGGGAACAAAGGGCGCCACGUGUGGCGUUGUGAGUGUACCCGAAGAAAAAGCAUCAGCUAACUCCGUGCCAGCAGCCGCGGUAAUACGGAGGAUGCGAGCGUUAUCCGGAUUUAUUGGGUUUAAAGGGUGCGUAGGCGGGCUGUUAAGUCAGCGGUCAAAUGUCGGGGCUCAACCCCGGCC
rnacentral:rRNA from 1 species